AGAACGGAGAACAUGUCUGACGCCGAGGAAGAGGUGGUGGAGUACGAGGAGAGGCCAUAAUGACCCUGUGGCUCCUGGCUUCUCCAGCACAGGCAGGUUGCAGCCUGGCUUGCAGUGGUCUGGCAAAGGCAUAUCAUGUAUGGACACAGGGAAGUGGUCUUUGAAGGUCCAGGAGCUGUACCUCCCUGCUUUCCAGGCUCUCUGGUUAAAACGGGGAGUGUCUUGCUUCUUUAAGCCUGUUCUGAGUCAUGUGGCCAAAUAAGAGCCAGGAGCAAAAAAUGCCCACAAAUGCCAUUUCUGGUUUUCAGGUGCCAUUAGAAAGAUCACUCACCCUGGUCCACCUAGCAUUCCACCACUGAUCUAAAUCUCCAGACCAUGGCUUUUUCUUUCUUUCUUUUUUUAAUAUUUAUUUUUAUUUUUAUUGUUUUAUUUUUAGUAGUGCAGGAUGGUCUCAAGCUGUGGCAAUCCUCCUGCCUCAGGUUCAGUACUCAGGCAUGCGCGGUGAGCCACCAUGUCCAGCUUCAAAAAUGCACUUGAAUCAAGAGCUCAGCUGCCUCUAACCUCCUCUGUAGAAGGAAACCCCAUCUGCUGGGGAUUCUUUGGUCUUGGAGGAUUUUCCAGCAAAUCACAAGAGGUUCUAGGUGGCAGGGUUUGGGAAACAGACUUGCGCCAGAUUUGUGACCUCCAUCCUGGAUAUAACACACAGUAGGAUCUGUCUGGGAGCUAAAGAACUUCUCAUCGGAGCUCUUACAGCAUCUGCAAGGACCUUAGGACAGGUAGUCCUAAGAGACUUUUUCCCAUUGCUGGGAAGCAAUUCUUUAACCAGAGAUUUGCAUCAAGAACAAUGGGGCAGUGGUCAGUUUCCUCAGAUUAUGAGACCAGGCCUUCCAGCUGUUAUGCCAGCUCCCUCAGUAUGGCUCCCAGUGGGACUUUCCUACACAUGAUUCUGGGAAUCGGUUCCUACUCAUUCCGGGCAGGAAUGUGGGAGAACGUGGAGGAGGAGUGAAAUUUUUGCCUAUUCUCUGCUACAGAGGUCCACCAUCUUAGUGAGAGAGAAGCCAGGGCCUGUAGCUGGCCAGGGCUAGUUAGUGUUUUCUCAAUGUUUGCGAGUGCCAGGCAUGCUAAACGGUUCCAUUCUCAGUAGUGGUUGGCAGGCGAUUGUCCUGUCCACUUACCCGAGGCUCGGGGAUGCCUCAAGGAGUGAGCCUACCAUAUUGCUUGAGUGUUGACUUGGGUGUGAGUCGGAGUUCAGGCCUAACUCUGAGCUGGCUGUGGCCUGCGCUGCCACCAGGCUUUCUGCUGCACACUAACCUGUUCCGCUUGCUCCCUUUGCGGCCGC
rnacentral:lncRNA from 1 species